ACUCCUACGGGAGGCAGCAGUGGGGAAUAUUGCACAAUGGGCGAAAGCCUGAUGCAGCCAUGCCGCGUAUAUGAAGAAGGCCUUCGGGUUGUAAAGUACUUUCAGUCGUGAGGAAGGGUGUGUAGUUAAUAGCUGCAUAUCUUGACGUUAGCGACAGAAGAAGCACCGGCUAACUCCGUGCCAGCAGCCGCGGUAAUACA
rnacentral:rRNA from 1 species